rnacentral:rRNA from 1 species
CGUGCUUACACAUGCAAGUCGAACGAUGAAGCCCUUCGGGGUGGAUUAGUGGCGAACGGGUGAGUAACACGUGGGCAAUCUGCCCUGCACUCUGGGACAAGCCCUGGAAACGGGGUCUAAUACCGGAUAACACCCCCUCUCGCAUGGGAGGGGGUUGAAAGCUCCGGCGGUGCAGGAUGAGCCCGCGGCCUAUCAGCUUGUUGGUGAGGUAGAAGCUCACCAAGGCGACGACGGGUAGCCGGCCUGAGAGGGCGACCGGCCACACUGGGACUGAGACACGGCCCAGACUCCUACGGGAGGCAGCAGUGGGGAAUAUUGCACAAUGGGCGAAAGCCUGAUGCAGCGACGCCGCGUGAGGGAUGACGGCCUUCGGGUUGUAAACCUCUUUCAGCAGGGAAGAAGCGAAAGUGACGGUACCUGCAGAAGAAGCGCCGGCUAACUACGUGCCAGCAGCCGCGGUAAUACGUAGGGCGCAAGCGUUGUCCGGAAUUAUUGGGCGUAAAGAGCUCGUAGGCGGCUUGUCACGUCGGUUGUGAAAGCCCGGGGCUUAACCCCGGGUCUGCAGUCGAUACGGGCAGGCUAGAGUGUGGUAGGGGAGAUCGGAAUUCCUGGUGUAGCGGUGAAAUGCGCAGAUAUCAGGAGGAACACCGGUGGCGAAGGCGGAUCUCUGGGCCAUUACUGACGCUGAGGAGCGAAAGCGUGGGGAGCGAACAGGAUUAGAUACCCUGGUAGUCCACGCCGUAAACGGUGGGAACUAGGUGUUGGCGACAUUCCACGUCGUCGGUGCCGCAGCUA